rnacentral:rRNA from 1 species
CUACGUGCCAGCAGCCGCGGCAAUACGGAGGGUGCAAGCGUUAAUCGGAAUUACUGGGCGUAAAGCGCACGCAGGCGGUCUGUCAAGUCGGAUGUGAAAUCCCCGGGCUCAACCUGGGAACUGCAUUCGAAACUGGCAGGCUAGAGUCUUGUAGAGGGGGGUAGAAUUCCAGGUGUAGCGGUGAAAUGCGUAGAGAUCUGGAGGAAUACCGGUGGCGAAGGCGGCCCCCUGGACAAAGACUGACGCUCAGGUGCGAAAGCGUGGGGAGCAAACAGGAUUAGAUACCCUGGUAGUCCACGCUGUAAACGAUGUCGACUUGGAGGUUGUGCCCUUGAGGCGUGGCUUCCGGAGCUAACGCGUUAAGUCGACCGCCUGGGGAGUACGGCCGCAAGGUUAAAACUCAAAUGAAUUGACGGGGGCCCGCACAAGCGGUGGAGCAUGUGGUUUAAUUCGAUGCAACGCGAAGAACCUUACCUACUCUUGACAUCCAGAGAAUUCGCUAGAGAUAG